AUGCUCACUUUGGCAGUACAGACACUAAAAUUGGAAUGAUACAGAGAAGAUUAGCAUGGUCCCUGAGCAAGGAUGGCACACAAAUUCGUGAAAUGUUCCAUAUUUUU